rnacentral:rRNA from 1 species
UACGAGGGGGGCAAGCGUUGUUCGGAAUUAUUGGGCGUAAAGGGCGCGUAGGCGGCUUUGCAAGUCGGGUGUGAAAUCCCUCAGCUUAACUGAGGAAGUGCGCCCGAAACUGCUUUGCUUGAGUGCCGGAGAGGAUGGCGGAAUUCCCCAAGUAGAGGUGAAAUUCGUAGAUAUGGGGAGGAACACCGGUGGCGAAGGCGGCCAUCUGGACGGUAACUGACGCUGAGACGCGAAAGCGUGGGGAGCAAACAGG